GAUGGACGCUGGCGGCGUGCCUAAUACAUGCAAGUCGAGCGAACAGACGAGGAGCUUGCUCCUCUGACGUUAGCGGCGGACGGGUGAGUAACACGUGGAUAACCUACCUAUAAGACUGGGAUAGCUUCGGGAAACCGGAGCUAAUACCGGAUAAUAUAUUGAACCGCAUGGUUCAAUAGUGAAAGACGGUUUUGCUGUCACUUAUAGAUGGAUCCGCGCCGCAUUAGCUAGUUGGUAAGGUAACGGCUUACCAAGGCAACGAUGCGUAGCCGACCUGAGAGGGUGAUCGGCCACACUGGAACUGAGACACGGUCCAGACUCCUACGGGAGGCAGCAGUAGGGAAUCUUCCGCAAUGGGCGAAAGCCUGACGGAGCAACGCCGCGUGAGUGAUGAAGGUCUUCGGAUCGUAAAACUCUGUUAUUAGGGAAGAACAAAUGUGUAAGUAACUAUGCACGUCUUGACGGUACCUAAUCAGAAAGCCACGGCUAACUACGUG
rnacentral:rRNA from 1 species